rnacentral:rRNA from 1 species
ACGCUAGCUACAGGCUUAACACAUGCAAGUCGAGGGGAAACGGCAUUAAGUGCUUGCACUUUUUGGACGUCGACCGGCGCACGGGUGAGUAACGCGUAUCCAACCUUCCCAUGACUAAGGGAUAACCUGCCGAAAGGCAGACUAAUACCUUAUGGUCUUCACUGACGGCAUCAGAUGUGAAGUAAAGAUUUAUCGGUUAUGGAUGGGGAUGCGUCUGAUUAGCUUGUUGGCGGGGUAACGGCCCACCAAGGCAACGAUCAGUAGGGGUUCUGAGAGGAAGGUCCCCCACAUUGGAACUGAGACACGGUCCAAACUCCUACGGGAGGCAGCAGUGAGGAAUAUUGGUCAAUGGGCGAGAGCCUGAACCAGCCAAGUAGCGUGCAGGAAGACGGCCCUAUGGGUUGUAAACUGCUUUUGUAUGGGGAUAAAGUCAAUCACGUGUGAUUGUUUGCAGGUACCAUACGAAUAAGGACCGGCUAAUUCCGUGCCAGCAGCCGCGGUAAUACGGAAGGUCCGGGCGUUAUCCGGAUUUAUUGGGUUUAAAGGGAGCGUAGGCUGGAGAUUAAGUGUGUUGUGAAAUGUAGACGCUCAACGUCUGACUUGCAGCGCAUACUGGUUUCCUUGAGUACGCACAACGUUGGCGGAAUUCGUCGUGUAGCGGUGAAAUGCUUAGAUAUGACGAAGAACUCCGAUUGCGAAGGCAGCUGACGGGAGCGCAACUGACGCUGAAGCUCGAAGGUGCGGGUAUCGAACAGGAUUAGAUACCCUGGUAGUCCGCACAGUAAACGAUGGAUGCCCGCUGUUGGUACCUGGUAUCAGCGGCUAAGCGAAAGCAUUAAGCAUCCCACCUGGGGAGUACGCCGGCAACGGUGAAACUCAAAGGAAUUGACGGGGGCCCGCACAAGC